UUGAACGCUGGCGGCAGGCCUAACACAUGCAAGUCGAGCGGUAGCACAGAGAGCUUGCUCUCGGGUGACGAGCGGCGGACGGGUGAGUAAUGUCUGGGAAACUGCCUGAUGGAGGGGGAUAACUACUGGAAACGGUAGCUAAUACCGCAUAAUGUCGCAAGACCAAAGUGGGGGGCCUUCGGGCCUCAUGCCAUCAGAUGUGCCCAGAUGGGAUUAGCUAGUAGGUGGGGUAACGGCUCACCUAGGCGACGAUCCCUAGCUGGUCUGAGAGGAUGACCAGCCACACUGGAACUGAGACACGGUCCAGACUCCUACGGGAGGCAGCAGUGGGGAAUAUUGCACAAUGGGCGCAAGCCUGAUGCAGCCAUGCCGCGUGUGUGAAGAAGGCCUUCGGGUUGUAAAGCACUUUCAGCGGGGAGGAAGGCGUUAAGGUUAAUAACCUUGGCGAUUGACGUUACCCGCAGAAGAAGCACCGGCUAACUCCGUGCCAGCAGCCGCGGUAAUACGGAGGGUGCAAGCGUUAAUCGGAAUUACUGGGCGUAAAGCGCACGCAGGCGGUCUGUCAAGUCGGAUGUGAAAUCCCCGGGCUCAACCUGGGAACUGCAUUCGAAACUGGCAGGCUAGAGUCUUGUAGAGGGGGGUAGAAUUCCAGGUGUAGCGGUGAAAUGCGUAGAGAUCUGGAGGAAUACCGGUGGCGAAGGCGGCCCCCUGGACAAAGACUGACGCUCAGGUGCGAAAGCGUGGGGAGCAAACAGGAUUAGAUACCCUGGUAGUCCACGCCGUAAACGAUGUCGAUUUGGAGGUUGUGCCCUUGAGGCGUGGCUUCCGGAGCUAACGCGUUAAAUCGACCGCCUGGGGAGUACGGCCGCAAGGUUAAAACUCAAAUGAAUUGACGGGGGCCCGCACAAGCGGUGGAGCAUGUGGUUUAAUUCGAUGCAACGCGAAGAACCUUACCUGGUCUUGACAUCCACAGAACUUUCCAGAGAUGGAUUGGUGCCUUCGGGAACUGUGAGACAGGUGCUGCAUGGCUGUCGUCAGCUCGUGUUGUGAAAUGUUGGGUUAAGUCCCGCAACGAGCGCAACCCUUAUCCUUUGUUGCCAGCGGUUAGGCCGGGAACUCAAAGGAGACUGCCAGUGAUAAACUGGAGGAAGGUGGGGAUGACGUCAAGUCAUCAUGGCCCUUACGACCAGGGCUACACACGUGCUACAAUGGCAUAUACAAAGAGAAGCGACCUCGCGAGAGCAAGCGGACCUCAUAAAGUAUGUCGUAGUCCGGAUUGGAGUCUGCAACUCGACUCCAUGAAGUCGGAAUCGCUAGUAAUCGUAGAUCAGAAUGCUACGGUGAAUACGUUCCCGGGCCUUGUACACACCGCCCGUCACACCAUGGGAGUGGGUUGCAAAAGAAGUAGGUAGCUUAACCUUCGGGAGGGCGCUUACCACUUUGUGAUUCAUGACUGGGGUG
rnacentral:rRNA from 1 species